UACGUAGGGUGCGAGCGUUAAUCGGAAUUACUGGGCGUAAAGCGUGCGUAGACGGUCGUGUAAGUCGGAUGUGAAAGCCCCGGGCUCAACCUGGGAAUUGCAUUCGAGACUGCACGGCUCGGGUGCGGAAGAGGGAAGCGGAAUUUCCGGUGUAGCGGUGAAAUGCGUAGAUAUCGGAAGGAACACCAGUGGCGAAAGCGGCUUCCUGGUCCGACACCGACGUUCAGGCACGAAAGCGUGGGGAGCAAACAGG
rnacentral:rRNA from 1 species